rnacentral:tRNA from 1 species
GGCCUUAUAGUUCAAGGGAUAGAACGAGGGUUUCCUAAACCCUAAAUCCGCGUUCGAGUCGCGGUGGGGCUACCA